rnacentral:lncRNA from 1 species
CCAAAAGAAAAUAUUGAAGCAAUUGAGAAAAUUAAGAUGAAAGACAGAAGGCAAAGGUUACGUGAAGAAAAAAAGAAACAAGAAACGAAACUUCAGGAAGAACGACUGCAGUGUUCUCUGAAAAGAGCAAUUGCAGCACCAAAGAAGAAGAUGGGAAGAAAGCUGGUAUUUCGCUCACAGCCUCCAGAGAUUAGAAAGAAGGAGGUGUGCCUGAAAGAGAUCAACACAAAAAUGCAAGAUGAUAUGUUAUUUUUCACUUGAGUUUAAAAGUAGUUGCACCUCCUUAAAGGGGGUGUUGCAGGUAUAUCUUCCUAUUUAGGUCAUCUAGAGCAAGAGAUUAAUAUUCUGUGCUGUAGUUUAACAGAAUUUACAAACAAAGAGGAGUUAUCACUAACAUGCAGGGAUCCAUAGUGUAAGUAGUAAACCUACUUUGUACAUCAGAUGUGAAAAAAAAAAACCAGAAUGUCUUCACUGCUUGUUCAGUAACACCUAUUACCACUAUCAGCAGAGAAAAAUGCCAUUCCCAUAACUACUUCAGUACACUCCAGUGUAGUCAGCUUAGAAAGACAGCUGUUUGCAACAGUAAAAAAAAGCCUCACUGACUUUUGAGCUGUUCUAUAAUACGACUGCAGUGCAAUGAAAGAGAUAGGACACCCUUUGCUACAUAAAGUGAUUUGCCACAAUCCUGUUGAUAUGCACAACUUUAAAGAUAAAAUUUACCAUGAGAAGCCACUUAGAUGCAAGAGUUCACCUUUAAGAAUAAAGUAGUACACAUAUUAGUAUUUUAAAAUGUC